GCGAGGAGUAUGUUUUGAAUUGAGUUCUUCACAGUCUCCAGACUCGACCAGCUGAAAUUGCAUUGUAAUACAUUGAGCUUCUGAGACGGAGCUGUGUUGGAAUUUGCUUGUGUAGAUCAGUUUGUUGUUUACGUUGAAUAUCCAGAGACUAUCGGAUCUAUAUCUAUACAUGUUGUAUACGUUUCGGAAUUGUGUCAUUUGGAGAAUCAUGGACCGUGAGUGGAGAAGCGAUUGGGUUUUAAUUCUCGUCAGCGUAUAUUCUCUCAGUCUCACCUCUUGUCGGAGAGCGUUUGACUGAGCCGAUCAAGCUAUAGGCUGGAGCGGGUUUAUUCGUUUCUGCAUCAAGUCAAGGUCUUUUCACUCGUUCGGUGAAUAGUUAACUAAAGCGAAAUUAUUUGUAUUAAAUAGCCGAAGAUUUGUAAUUCAAAUAGCCCGAGGUUUCUUUCAACUCCUACGUUCAGGAGCUGUCCAGCUUGACCGUCAGACUGACCAGUACUCAGUUGUCCAGAAAAAUGGAGGCUGUUAUUGAGAAAGAAUGCAGUGCACUGGGGGGACUUUUCCAAAGUGUGAUAGGCGACAUGAAAAACAGCUACCCCAUCUGGGAAGACUUUAUCAGCAAGGCUGGGAAACUACAAUCUCAACUCAGGGCGACCGUGGUUGCAGCUGCAGCCUUCCUGGAUGCCUUUCAGAAAGUGGCUGACCUGGCCACCAACACACGAGGUAGGACCAUGUACCCGUC